rnacentral:rRNA from 1 species
UACGAAGGGUGCAAACGUUUGCUCGGGAAUCAUUGGGCGUAAAGCGCACGUAGGCGGCAUUCUAAGUCGGAUGUGAAAUCCCUCGGCUCAACCGAGGACGUGCAUCCGAAACUGGAACGCUCGAGUAUGGAAGAGGGUCGCGGAAUUCUCGGUGUAGAGGUGAAAUUCGUAGAUAUCGGGAGGAACACCAGUGGCGAAGGCGGCGCCUGGGCCAAUACUGACGGCUGAGGUGCGAAAAGCGUGGGGAGCAAACAGG